AUUGAACGCUGGCGGCAGGCCUAACACAUGCAAGUCGAGCGAGCGGCGGACGGGUGAGUAUUGUCUGGGAAACUGUCUGAUGUAGGGGGAUAACUACUGGAAACGGUAGCUAAUACCGCAUAUCACCAGAUAUGUCCAGAGUGGAUUAGCUAGUAGGUGGGGUAACGGCUCACCUAGGCGACGAUCCCUAGCUGGUCUGAGAGGAUGACCAGCCACACUGGAACUGAGACACGGUCCAGACUCCUACGGGAGGCAGCAGUGGGGAAUAUUGCACAAUGGGCGCAAGCCUGAUGCAGCCAUGCCGCGUGUGUGAAGAAGGCCUUCGGGUUGUAAAGCACUUUCAGCGAGGAGGCGUUACCCGCAGAAGAAGCACCGGCUAACUCCGUGCCAGCAGCCGCGGUAAUUC
rnacentral:rRNA from 1 species